rnacentral:lncRNA from 1 species
GUUGUUUUUUUUUUUUAUUUUUGUCAGUUGUGUUGUAUGUCUGUGAUGAGUGUUUACACACGUUUUAGCUGCUGGAUCAAAUUAUUGUCACAAUAAUAAUAAUGUCUGUAUGGGUUGUUCAUCCAAUUUUGUCAACAUAUUGGAACUAUAAAUAACCUUUAUACAAGUAGGAGGAUCAACUAGCUAUAAAAUCGGGUUUAAUGCACAAUUU